UACCAGCACCCCGAGUGGUCGGGACGUUUAUUGGGCCUAAAGCAUCCGUAGCCGGUUCUACAAGUCUUCCGUUAAAUCCACCUGCUUAACAGAUGGGCUGCGGAAGAUACUAUAGAGCUAGGAGGCGGGAGAGGCAAGCGGUACUCGAUGGGUAGGGGUAAAAUCCGUUGAUCCAUUGAAGACCACCAGUGGCGAAGGCGGCUCGCCAGAACGCGCUCGACGGUGAGGGAUGAAAGCUGGGGGAGCAAACCGGG
rnacentral:rRNA from 1 species